UACGAAGGGGGCUAGCGUUGUUCGGAGUUACUGGGCGUAAAGCGCACGUAGGCGGAUACUUAAGUUAGGGGUGAAAUCCCAGGGCUCAACCCUGGAACUGCCUUUAAUACUGGGUAUCUUGAGUUCGAGAGAGGUGAGUGGAAUUCCGAGUGUAGAGGUGAAAUUCGUAGAUAUUCGGAGGAACACCAGUGGCGAAGGCGGCUCACUGGCUCGAUACUGACGCUGAGGUGCGGAAGCGUGGGGAGCAAACAGG
rnacentral:rRNA from 1 species